CCUACGGGAGGCAUCAGUGAGGAAUAUUGGUCAAUGGACGAGAGUCUGAACCAGCCAAGUAGCGUGAAGGAUGACUGCCCUAUGGGUUGUAAACUUCUUUUAUCAAGGAAUAAAACGAGGCACGUGUGCCUUUUUGCAUGUACUUUAUGAAUAAGGAUCGGCUAACUCCGUGCCAGCAGCCGCGGUAAUACGGAGGAUCCGAGCGUUAUCCGGAUUUAUUGGGUUUAAAGGGAGCGUAGAUGGGUUGUUAAGUCAGUUGUGAAAGUUUGCGGCUCAACCGUAAAAUUGCAAUUGAUACUGGCAGUCGUGAGUACAGUUGAGGUAGGCGGAAUUCGUGGUGUAGCGGUGAAAUGCUUAGAUAUCACGAAGAACCCCGAUUGCGAAGGCAGCUUACUAAACUGUGACUGACAUUGAUGCUCGAAAGUGUGGGUAUCAAACAGGAUUAGAUACCCGUGUAGUC
rnacentral:rRNA from 1 species